rnacentral:rRNA from 1 species
CCUACGGGUGGCUGCAGCGAGGAAUAUUGCGCAAUGGGCGAAAGCCUGACGCAGUAACGCCGCGUGGGGGAAGAAGACCUUCGGGUUGUAAACCUCUUUUUGUAGAGACGAUGGAGGACGGUAUCUAUAGAAUAAGUCUCGGCUAACUACGUGCCAGCAGCCGCGGUCAGACGUAGGAGGCGAGCGUUAUCCGGAAUCACUGGGCGUAAAGGGCAUGUAGGCGGUUGCGCAAGUCGUGUGUUAAAGCCCCUGGCUCAACUAGGGGAGGUCAUGCGAGACUGUGCGGCUAGAGGGCAGGAGAGGCACGUGGAACUCCCGGUGUAGCGGUGGAAUGCGUAGAGAUCGGGAAGAACAUCAGUGGCGAAGGCGACGUGCUGGGCUGAACCUGACGCUGAGAUGCGAAAGUGUGGGGAGCAAACGGGAUUAGAUACCCUUGUAGUC